UACGUAGGGGGCAAGCGUUGUCCGGAAUCAUUGGGCGUAAAGAGCGUGUAGGCGGCCAGAUAAGUCCGCUGUGAAAUCUCGAGGCUCAACUUCGAGCUGUCGGUGGAAACUGUCUGGCUAGAGUCCGGAAGAGGAGAAUGGAAUUCCUGGUGUAGCGGUGAAAUGCGCAGAUAUCAGGAGGAACAUCCGUGGCGAAGGCGGCUCUCUGGGACGGUACUGACGCUGAGACGCGAAAGCGUGGGGAGCGAACAGG
rnacentral:rRNA from 1 species